AGCAGUAGCCGCGGGAAUACGUAGGGCGCAAGCGUUGUCCGGAAUUAUUGGGCGUAAAGAGCUCGUAGGCGGUCUGUCGCGUCUGGUGUGAAAUCCCGAGGCUCAACCUUGGGCUUGCAUCGGGUACGGGCAGACUAGAGUGCGGUAGGGGAGACUGGAAUUCCUGGUGUAGCGGUGGAAUGCGCAGAUAUCAGGAGGAACACCGAUGGCGAAGGCAGGUCUCUGGGCCGCAACUGACGCUGAGGAGCGAAAGCAUGGGGAGCGAACAGGAUUAGAUACCCCUGUAGUCCCUGUCUCUUAUAC
rnacentral:rRNA from 1 species